rnacentral:rRNA from 1 species
GUGCCAGCCGCCGCGGUAAUACGGAGGAUCCAAGCGUUAUCCGGAUUUAUUGGGUUUAAAGGGUGCGUAGGCGGCCUAUUAAGUCAGGGGUGAAAGCCGGUAGCUUAACUAUCGAAUUGCCUUUGACACUGAUGGGCUUGAAUAGACUAGAGGUAGGCGGAAUGAGACAAGUAGCGGUGAAAUGCAUAGAUAUGUCUCAGAACACCGAUUGCGAAGGCAGCUUACUAUGGUCUUAUUGACGCUGAGGCACGAAAGCGUGGGGAUCAAACAGGAUUAGAUACCCUGGUAGUCCACGCCCUAAACGAUGAAUACUCGAUGUCGGCGAUACACGGCCGGCGCCCAAGCGAAAGCGUUAAGUCAUCCACCUGGGGAGUACGCCCGCAAGGGUGAA